rnacentral:rRNA from 1 species
CCCUUAGAUGUUCUGGGCCGCACGCGCGCUACACUGACGAAUGCAACGAGCUUAUAACCUUGGCCGAAAGGUCUGGGUAAUCUCCAAAUUUCGUCGUGAUGGGGAUAGAUUAUUGCAAUUAUUAAUCUUCAACGAGGAAUGCCUAGUAAGCGCAAGUCAUCAGCUUGCGUUGAUUACGUCCCUGCCCUUUGUACACACCGCCCGUCGCUCCUACCGAUUGAAUGGUCCGGUGAAGCGUUCGGACCGUGGCCUUUGGACGGUUCGCCGUCUGUUGGCUGCGGGAAGUUCGUUAAACCUUAUCAUUUAGAGGAAGGAGAAGUCGUGACA